AUGGGACAUAUUCAAAAAAAGACCACAUAUUGGGUUAUAGGCAAAAUCUCUCCAAAUUCAAAAAGAUUGAAAUUCUAUCAAGUAUAUUCUCAGAUC